rnacentral:rRNA from 1 species
AUUGAACGCUGGCGGCAGGCCUAACACAUGCAAGUCGAGCGGAGCGGCGGACGGGGGAGUAAGACCUAGGAAUCUGCCUGGGAGUGGGGGAUAACGUCCGGAAACGGACGCUAAUACCGCAUCCUAUCAGAUGAGCAUGGGUGGGAUUAGCGAGUGGGUGGGGUAAAGGCCUACCAAGGCGACGAUCCGUAACUGGGCUGAGAGGAUGAGCAGUCACACUGGAACUGAUACACGGUCCAGACUCCUACGGGAGGCAGCAGUGGGGAAUAUUGGACAAUGGGCGAAAGCCUGAUCCAGCCAUGCCGCGUGUGUGAAGAAGGUCUUCGGAUUGUAAAGCACUUUAAGUUGGGAGGCGUUACCAACAGAAGAAGCACCGGCUAACUCCGUGCCAGCAGCCGCGGUAAUUC